rnacentral:rRNA from 1 species
UACUUAGUGGCAGACGGGUGAGUAACAUGUGGGUAUCUACCCUUUGGCCUGGAAUAACACGAGGAAACUUGUGCUAAUACCGGAUAAGUCUUUACGGAGAAAGCUUUAUGCACCAUUGGAUGAGCCCGCACUUGAUUAGUUUGUUGGUAGGGUAAUGGCCUACCAAGACUAUGAUCAAUAGCUGAUUUGAGAGGAUGAUCAGCCACAUUGGGACUGAGACACGGCCCAAACUCCUACGGGAGGCAGCAGUGGGGAAUCUUGCACAAUGGAGGAAACUCUGAUGCAGCGAUGCCGCGUGAGUGAAGAAGGCCUUUGGGUUGUAAAGCUCUUUCGUCGGGGAAGAAAAUGACUGUACCCGAAUAAGAAGGUCCGGCUAACUUCGUGCCAGCAGCCGCGGUAAUACGAAGGGACCUAGCGUAGUUCGGAAUUACUGGGCUUAAAGAGUUCGUAGGUGGUUGAAAAAGUUGGUGGUGAAAUCCCAGAGCUUAACUCUGGAACUGCCAUCAAAACUUUUCAGCUAGAGUAUGAU